GAUGAACGCUGGCGGCGUGCCUAAUACAUGCAAGUCGAACGCAUAGCGAAAGGUGCUUGCACCUUUCAAGUGAGUGGCGAACGGGUGAGUAACACGUGGACAACCUGCCUCAAGGCUGGGGAUAACAUUUGGAAACAGAUGCUAAUACCGAAUAAAACUUAGUGUCGCAUGACACAAAGUUAAAAGGCGCUUCGGCGUCACCUAGAGAUGGAUCCGCGGUGCAUUAGUUAGUUGGUGGGGUAAAGGCCUACCAAGACAAUGAUGCAUAGCCGAGUUGAGAGACUGAUCGGCCACAUUGGGACUGAGACACGGCCCAAACUCCUACGGGAGGCUGCAGUAGGGAAUCUUCCACAAAGGGCGAAAGCCUGAUGGAGCAACGCCGCGUGUGUGAUGAAGGCUUUCGGGUCGUAAAGCACUGUUGUAUGGGAAGAACAGCUAGAAUAGGAAAUGAUUUUAGUUUGACGGUACCACACCAGAAAGGGACGGCUAAAUACGUG
rnacentral:rRNA from 1 species